UACGUAGGGUGCAAGCGUUAAUCGGAAUUACUGGGCGUAAAGCGUGCGCAGGCGGCUUUGCAAGACAGAUGUGAAAUCCCCGGGCUCAACCUGGGAACUGCAUUUGUGACUGCAUGGCUAGAGUACGGUAGAGGGGGAUGGAAUUCCGCGUGUAGCAGUGAAAUGCGUAGAUAUGUGGAGGAACACCGAUGGCGAAGGCAGCCCCCUGGGUCAAGAUUGACGCUCAUGCACGAAAGCGUGGGGAGCAAACAGG
rnacentral:rRNA from 1 species